UGCUGUUUCUUUGAAGACAUGCCACCUGCUGCCCAUGCACUCCAGCUAUAAAUCAUUGCUCCCUUCUACAUAUCCUGUCAAAGCCAUCUUCUUAAGCGAGCGCUACGCACGGUUAAAACCUGGAGCUUCGGGCAACUCCUCACCAAAGGACAAUGCACCCUCAUCCCAUAAUUCAAGGAAGAAGGGCAUGUGGCAGCAACAUCCAAACGAAUGAGCUGAGAAUGAGCUGAGCAAUGAGAAAAAAAAAAAAAAAAAAAGAAGCUGUAAGAAUAAUGUGGAGAGGGAACAACAUGCUGCCUCCUUACUUUAACGCUCACAGAACGCUCUUGAAAUUGACACUAUCAUUUGCUUUCAGUGAAAAUCUUUUCGAUUCUAGCUUUUCGCAUGUAUUUCAAUGAGUGACCUGAUGGGAACAAGCAAUUUGAUCGUAACACCAGAGUUAUUGUUAUAUCGAAAAUCGAAUUCAACGGGCUUGACUGUACUUCAAAUAUGUAGUUUUCGUAUAUACUGUAUGGGCUGUGUAAAAAAAUAGAAAGAAAAGAAAAGAGAAGAAAGAAGCACUCUGUCAAAAACCUCCAAGCAGAAGGUCUCUUACGAAACUUUGCUGCUCAACUGGCCUGUCCCUAGGGCAUCAAUGAUUCAUGUUGCUGUCAGCCCCUACAAGUAUUUUCUCAGCAAGAUAAGCUUUAAUCUUUUCAUCUUAUUCUUCAUGGACAGAUGACCACGGCGAAACAGCAUCUGUCCUUGUCGUUCUGUUUGCGUUCUUCCAUAAUGCAUAUCUAUGACCAACAUUGUCUCCUUGCCUUGUCGUUUAUCGUAUUAUACGUCAGAUUAGCAGACACACAAACAACAGUAACGAAGAAGUGUAAUAUGCGUGAUUCAUCCUCGUGUAUUCCUCGUAUAUUCGCUACCGUUGCUCUGUGGUAAACAUUAUACUGGCCAAUCCUCUCAGUGCUUAAAUGACUGCCUUUGUCAGCACACGUACAACAAUCAGUCUCUUUCGGAUAAUGUCAGUCAAUGGCUGGUGAACUUGGCCCGUGAUAGAGGUCGCUUUUGUAUCUCUUCCAGACUUGUUGCCUGUCCAGACUGAGUUGUAUCAAUAAAUUGUUUUCUACUAGUUGAAUGCUG